GGAGAAGAACUCCCAUGAUGCACCACUGCUGCACCACUACAGCAAACUCCAGCUUUUACUGUUGUUUUUAUUCAGAGACCCCGAGUGGCAGAAAGUUACAUAUUGUGCGUUAAAACCUUGAACGCUCCAUCUUACACACUUAACUAUGCAACAGGAUUUCAGCAGAAGCUGGGUGGUGUUUGUGGCGGUGUUCGUCACCUUGGUGUCGUCAGAGUCUGUCACACAUCUACUUCUCUUUUCUCCUUUUAAAUGUGUCAUUCAUUGUGCUCCCAUUGACGCUGUAUGAUUUGUAUCAAUGUGCAGCUUCAGAUCAAUGCUCUCUCUCUCUCUUGUGCCGUUUCUCUUUCUGCUUUGCCGCUGACUGUUUGUGUGUCUGUUUCUCUGCUUUCUCCAUGUCUGUGUGUGUGUGUGUGUGUGUGUGUGUGUGUGUGUCGUCCGUCUCUGGUCCGUCAAGUGUCCGGCCGCUGUCUAUCUCAGGGCAGCCCAUCUCGGCUCCCGCCACUCCCACGGCAGCGGGCAGCUAUGCCUCUCUGCUCCCCACCAGUGUGACUGUUCACAGCUUCGUCAGUCUCCAUCAGUACUGCUGCCCCUCUACUGACCCAAGCUUUCAGCAGCAGGACAGUCUCCUUCCACUCCCAGGUGUGACUCCAGUAAUAUGUGGAGUUAAGCCCUUCUAGCAGCUUCACAGAGCGAGAGGACAGCUGAGGGAGCUGAGUCACAAACCUUCCUCUCACAGACACAUCGUGACGCUCCAACACUGCCCUCUCAUGGCACACGCCAGCUGUCAUGUGCACACACCUCCCCGCCAUCUUUAAUAAAGGUGCCUGUUGUAGCUGAACAUGCAACUGUUUUGCUUUCUGCUUUCUCUUCACGUGUCUCACUCUGUCCUCCUCUUUCUCUCUCCGUCUCAUCCGUCUGCCUUCCUCGUGUUUGUGUUUUGACUCGUCCCGCGUUGCUUUCCAAGAGAGGGGGGCGAGGACGAGGGUGCCCAUCAGUUCUGCUGUCCUGCCUCAGGCUGCAGCAGCCCCUCCUCUCGCUGAGGCUGACUUUACCUGUGACUGAAACCGGAGACCUCACUGUGACUGUGUUACCAAAAAGGCAAAAGUGUUGCUGCAUUUCAGCCGGACAAAAUAGAAAAGCAUGCAGCUUGUAGUCGCUGUGAGCGUUGGUGUUCUACAUGUGCUCUCGUGGAUUUAUUCAUCGUGUAUAUGUUUUGUGCAUUAAUUCACAUUUUGACGGAACUCGGUGUUGUCUUCUCUCUGUGUUCUUUGCUGUUUAUUUCUUUUCUUGGAGCCAUAACAAGCUGUCAGGACGCAUCAGCAUCGUCUGCUCAUUACUGUCGCGCUCGUGCUUCUCGCUCGUGGGGUCACGUCAGUGCUCCGUGGUCACCGUUAGUUAUCUGUGCAGAUAAAGUCAGUUUGUAUUACAUGUUGGUGUGAUCCAUCCUUCACGUCUGAUCAUUAAUGCUGUUAUCUAUCAUGUUUAUUCAUAAAGAGAUUUAUCUUGUUGGUUUAGCUCUGAACAAAAUAAAGAUCUCUACUUCCUUCAUUUCUGUCUUUUUAAAUGUCUGCCGCUCAAGUGUUUGUUGUUUCAGUCCUGCAGGAAUGCUGCUGGCCCCCACCUCCAGCACAGUGACACGUGUGCACAUGCACAACGUGUGAUAUCAUCAGUUAUAUCUUGAGUGUGAAAGGUUUCCCCUGCAGAACACAGUUAUUGUUGGAAACCUGAUCAGCAUUCGGUGUAAAAAAUAUCUUUUCUUUUAAGCCAGAGGUUUUCUAAACGUACAGGAGUGUGUGUGUUUGAAGGUAAAUUAUUAAAACCUGUUGAUGUUGUUUCUCAGGACAUUUAUCAUCUGUUCUCUGCGGCUGCACUCGACUAACUCGACACAUUAUUAAUAUUUAAUAUUACAGAAGAUACUUAUUUGUGACACAUCACGAGACAAAGAAUAUAAAUAGUUGUUCUGCUGCUAGAUUAAUGGAAAACAUUACUAACACUGUGACUUUCAUCUCUUUAAAGGUAGAUGUGUAUAUUUUCAUUCAUUAUAUUUUGCAUUAAAGAAAAGUCUUGUUUUCAGCUGCCUUCCUGCAGACAGCAGCACAGACAUCCAGGUGAACGUCACUUAAUCUCCAGACUGGACGAUGUAAAAGAUAAACGAGCUCCAAACAUUUCUUAUAUUUCUCCUUCCACAUCUUCCCAAUAAAGGAAAGCAC
ensembl:lncRNA